GAUGAAACGCUGGCGGCGUGCUUAACGCAUGCAAGUCGAACGAAGCACUUUGGACAGAUUCUUCGGAUGAAGUCCCUGGUGACUGAGUGGCGGACGGGUGAGUAAACGCGUGGGGUAACCUGCCUCAUACAGGGGAUAAACAGUUAGAAAUGGCUGCUAAUACCGCAUAAAGCGCACGGUACUGCAUGGUACAGUGUGAAAAACUCCGGUGGUAUGAGAUGGACCCGCGUU
rnacentral:rRNA from 1 species